GAAAUACAAUAAGUAAUGUGAAUUGCAGAAUUCAGUAAAUCAUCGAAUCUUUGAACGUACAUUGCGCCCGCCAGUAUUCUAGCGGGCAUGCCUGUUCGAGCGUCAUUUUAACUAUCAAGCCCCCGGGCUUGUAUUAGGGACCUACGGCCGCUAUAGGCCCUAAAAAGCAGUAGCGGGCUCGCUGUUACCCCGAGCGUAGUAGCAAUUACCUCGCUUAGGGUGUACUAUAGGCACCGGCCAUUAAAACCAAUGUACCAAUGUACCCCCUAAAGGUUGACCUCGGAUUAGGUAGGAAUACCCGCUAAACUUAA
rnacentral:misc_RNA from 1 species